rnacentral:sRNA from 1 species
AAGUAUUGUUAGUUCAAUUGGUAAAAAUUCUAGGUAAAGUUUAGAUGUUGCCGGUUCGAGUAAUGUUUGGGAUGAAACUAAUAUUAUAUGUUGUGGUUUCGAGUUUAGGGAGAUUACGGAUUUCGGCCCAAAACUUCUUGGUAUUAA